AAGUAAGAUGAUUACAUGAAUCUUAAUUUUUUUUAAAUGGAAACAUCGCUUUUAAAUGUUGGUUAAAUGUUGGCAAUAAUAUAAAUAAAUAUUUACGAAAUGAACUUACAUGAAAAUAGUUUUAUAACCAUUAAGCUAGUUAAGUAAAGGAGAAAUACAUUUUUAUAGGUUUUAUUAUCUGUGGAUUUUACAAUGAUUCACAGUUUGUUUAUCAUCAACCAUUCAGGGUGAGUCGGUAGUGACAGGAUAUAUUUCUGGAAAAACAUUGGAGAAGUGUUUUGGGACGCUCUGUUUGUGAUUAUUUCUUCGAAGCUCAAGGAAAGGCUACUUCUCCAGAAGACAUUCCUCCUGUAAUUGCAACAGG